AACGAACGCUGGCGGCAUGCCUAACACAUGCAAGUCGAACGAGACCUUCGGGUCUAGUGGCGCACGGGGGCGUAACGCGUGGGAACCUGCCCGUAGGUUCGGAAUAACUCCCCGAAAGGGGUGCUAAUACCGGAUAAUGUCUUCGGACCAAAGAUUUAUCGCCUUUGGAUGGGCCCGCGUUGGAUUAGCUAGUUGGUAGGGUAAAAGCCUACCAAGGCGACGAUCCAUAGCUGGUCUGAGAGGAUGAUCAGCCACACUGGGACUGAGACACGGCCCAGACUCCUACGGGAGGCAGCAGUGGGGAAUAUUGGACAAUGGGCGAAAGCCUGAUCCAGCAAUGCCGCGUGAGUGAUGAAGGCCUUAGGGUUGUAAAGCUCUUUUACCCGGGAUGAUAAUGACAGUACCGGGAGAAUAAGCUCCGGCUAACUCCGUG
rnacentral:rRNA from 1 species